GUGGCCUGGCACCCAGCCAGCAGGGUAAGGGCAGAGGUGGCUGGGCCCUUCCUACUGGAAAGGGCUCCCCAAACCACCACCCCCCACCACCACGGGCCUGGGCAGGGCUGGCAGCACACAGGACAGCCAGGAGGGGUGCCACCCAACCACAUCUCCUUCUCGGCCACAGGCUAGAUGGCAUCUUCCUGGAGCUGGGCAGUGAGGAGCAGAAGAGACUGCCUGCCUUCAACCGCACGUUGGCCCUACUCCGGCAAGUGCUGAAGUCUGAGGACCCCUGCCACCGAGGUGGGGACCCGGGGGAUGGGUGGGACAGCAGCCUCUGCCCCCUGCCAACAGCCUGCUGGCAUUGCAUCCACCUCUGGCAUUACCUCCCCUUCUUGGCUCCUGUUUCUUCCUCCUUCGCUCUGUUCCCUACACUCAUCUGUGCACCUCAGGGAGCCCACAUACCUUGCCCAAGUGAACAUGCCAACUACAAGUCACUGCGACUGCAGGCUUGCCCGUCUGCAGCUCAUGACCUGGAGGGUGAGAGGUAGUUUCCCCUAUUUCCACCUAUUUAUGGUCAGAAGAUUGAAGCCUCUGUUGGAGAGGAGUCGAGUCAUUUUUUUGCAGGGCCAGACAGCAAGAGCAGGGACUAGAACCACCAGAGCUGGUGAGAACUGAAGUCAGAAGAGACCUACGUACCUGAAAUGAGGUCCCCCGAUGACACAUUGAGCACAGAAUAAGCACUAAAAUGGGUUCACUAACCCCUCACACGGCCCCUCUCUCCACCCUUGCUUCUCUCUGUCCCUGGGUUGCCCUUAGUGAUCUCACUCUACUAUCCCUUGCUUUGUCUUCAUGAGUGACACCUAGGAUGGGGAUGGCCCCUUCCCUCUCUCCACCCUGCUGCUUCCUAGAGACCCUCUCCCACCCUUCACCCCCAGCCCUGGCCUGGUGCUACCUCGGGAUGCUGCUGGAGCGGAAGGACACCUUCUCCACCACCCCCAUGGGCGUCCAUGACUGCGGGUACUCAGGGACCGACCCUCUAGACUGCUUCGGCAAGGUACGUGCCCCCAGCCACACCCACCCUCUAAACUGAGAAGGAGCCUGGCACCCCAGCCUCUCCACCCAGAACCCAGGCUUCUCUAGGUAUCAACCCCCACCGCGUGGCCCACCCAGGAAGUACACUUACUCCAGACCUUGCUCUCCAUCCUCUCUUCAUUCAAAACAAAAGAGACCCUCCCCAUACCCAGUCUGGCUCCAGUCCAUUUCUCCAGCCUUGAAAUAGACCCUUAGACUUUUUCCCUUGAGGCCUUCAUUCACAGUAUUCCCUCUGCCAGGAGUUCCCUACCUCUCCACCCCCAAUGGCACAAUAGAAAGAUGGGUUUAGCUGGUGUCUCCUUGCCAGCCCUGCCCAUAGGCUGUGUGACCCUAAGGCAAGUAACUUACAACAGGAAGCAGUCAAUGACAAUAGUGGGGGUAAGUGUUAUUACCCAGGUAGAAACCCUGUACUUUGUAAGGUUGGGGGAUGGGGGUUGCCUCUGGCCCUUCCUCUCACCUGCCCUAGGAAGAUGGGAGAGCAUACACUGGGAAGGAGGGGUCUGACUGGGCUCUGGAAGGCUUUACUGGAUGUGACCGGUGAUGUGGUCGUGGGCCAGGCUCUCAGGAGUUGAGUGCCAAUAGGUUGUGCCCCAAGGUGUUGGGGCUUCGUGAUAUGACAACUUACUGGCAGGUGGAUAAGGGUGGAUAUGGGUAAAGGGCACCGUGUUGAUACGGCUGUAUCCAAAGAUCGGGUUCCUGUGGUUCAGCACUAUUUAGCCAGCUCUGGCUAAUGACCAAGCAAGUGGUUUGUUUUUGUACUCCUCCCUUACCUAGGCCAUUGAGAUUGCCAAGAACCAACCUCCCAUCCUGAAUCGCCUGGCAAAAAUCUUCUACUUCCUGGGAAAGCAGGAUAUGGCCAUUGGAACCUGCAACAUGGCCCUGGAUGUCCUACGAGAUCCAGAGCUCAACUGGCAGGCGUACUGCACAAGGGCCAAGAUCCACAUCAGAGCCUACCUGCAUGACCUCGAGCGGGCCAAGAUGGGUCUUGGGGGCAUGCCUGACAGGAACCACCUGGCCUGUGCCAAGGCUGACCUCGAGGAAGUGGUCAGGGUGUGCCCAGGCUUCAAGGCGUACCUGGACAUCGGCCAGGUCUACUACUAUAUGGGCGUGGACGCGGUGCAGGAGCUGCUGGCGGUGGACGAGGCGGCGCUGAACCAGGCGCUGGUGUUCCUGGCCAAGGCGGGCGAGUCGGAGCUGGGUGCCACGCUGCCCGAGCUGCAGCUGCUGCGCGGCAAGUGCCUGCGCAUCAAGGGCGAGGACGCCAACGCGGCCG
rnacentral:sRNA from 1 species